ACAGAAGCAUACUGACAGAUACAGAGAACAAACUACACAGGGAAAUACAGCCACUAUUUUAUAAUGACUUUAAAUGGAGUAUGAUCUAUAAAAGUACUGAGUCACUACGUGGUUGCUGGGCUGCAAGCGGCAGCAAGGCGCGUACUUGCCCAGGUCUGAGAUGGAAGAAAGAGCCAGGAGACCACGAGAGGGGCAUAAAUGAUUUACUAAAUAGGGCAGGGGUCCCCAAAUCCCAAGCCGAGGACUCAUAGGAACCAGGCCGAACAGCAGGAGAUAGGAACAGUGUCUCAUGCAAGAGAAAAAGCAUUCUGUUUUGGUGAACAUGGAAACUGAAUUCUCAGAUUUGGGGCUUCUAAUGGCAAAUUAAACCCAUCUCACCAAGAAAAGAGAAUGAGAAAAAGAAAUAACUUUUAUACUGUGGCAAAUAACUGGUGUGUUGAUCUUUUUGAAUCUCCUGAUUUCUUUAUCUUGUCAUGGUUUUCCUUAAUGGUGACACAGGUUUAAGAAAAUAAAACACAUCUGAUAGAAGUUCUUUGUCUUCCCCCUUUUAAAUUAUUUAGUAACAUUGGGUAGCUAAGAAAUUGUCUCUGCUCCUACAAAAAACCACUAUGCUAAUUGUGGCCAGAAAAAUCAGUAAUUAUAACAGAUUAUACAAAGCAGGAACGGCUACACUAACGUUAGGGAGUAAGGGGUGCAAUUAUGUGGCUCAGCCUAAGACAUCUUCACUCUGAAUCUCUGUGAAGAAUGAAGAAAAAAAAGCUCCACACCAAAAUUGAAGGGGACCAGUUUUCUGAUUGUGUCCUAGGGGAUUUGGAUAAAGCUCAAGCAAUUUGAAGCAUACCCUCAGGUUGUACUCAGCAGAAUUCCUGACCUCUGCCACAUCCUAUCUAUCAUAAGCCUUUAUCAGGAGAAGAUGCCAAAUCACAAGCCAUUUGGUGGCAUAUAAUUGCUUCGACAUUGACAGCAGAAGGGUAUAUAUCAUCUCCUAUGUUAAAAGGGGAGUGAGUGUUUUAAAUGGAAGAAGACUGAAUAUAAAAGAAAAUUUAAAUAAACACGGAAGCGAAGCUAAACCAAUACUAAACUGAAAGGGAUAUCAAAAUAAAAUGAAACCUUAAAUAUGGACUGAAGAAAACAAUAAUGUAUGAUUUCUAAUGAUACUUUCUGAUCUAUUAGAAAUAUUGAAGAAACAAAAAUUAAGAAAGAAGCGGAAGAAGGAAGGAAGAAAGGAGGA